CCUACGGGGAGCAGCAGUGAGGAAUAUUGGUCAAUGGACGAAAGUCUGAACCAGCCAUGCCGCGUGCAGGAAGACGGCUCUAUGAGUUGUAAACUUCUUUUGUACAAGGGUAAACCUGAAUACGUGUAUUCAGCUGAAUGUACUGUACGAAUAAGGAUCGGCUAACUCCGUGCCAGCCGCCGCGGUAAUACGGAGGAUCCAAGAGUUAUCCGGAUUUAUUGGGUUUAAAGGGUGCGUAGGCGGAUUGAUAAGUUAGAGGUGAAAUGUCCGGGCUCAACUCGGGAACUGCCUCUAAUACUGGUGAUCUAGAGAGUAGAUGCGGUAGGCGGAAUGUAUGGUGUAGAGGUGAAAUGCUUAGAGAUCAUACAGAACACCGAUUGCGAAGGCAGCUUACCAAUCUAUAUCUGACGUUGAGGCACGAAAGCGUGGGGAGCAAACAGGAUUAGAUACCCCAGUAGUC
rnacentral:rRNA from 1 species